UCCCUGGUGGCUCAGUGGUAAAGAAUCUGCCUGCCAAUCAGGGGAUGCGGGUUUGAUCCCUGCAUCGGGAA
rnacentral:tRNA from 1 species